rnacentral:rRNA from 1 species
CAGCCGCCGCGGUAAUACAGAGGGUGCAAGCGUUAAUCGGAAUUACUGGGCGUAAAGCGCGCGUAGGUGGUUUGUUAAGUUGGAUGUGAAAUCCCCGGGCUCAACCUGGGAACUGCAUCCAAAACUGGCAGGCUAGAGUAGGGCAGAGGGUGGUGGAAUUUCCUGUGUAGCGGUGAAAUGCGUAGAUAUAGGAAGGAACACCAGUGGCGAAGGCGACCACCUGGGCUCAUACUGACACUGAGGUGCGAAAGCGUGGGGAGCAAACAGGAUUAGAUACCCCCGUAGUCCCUGUCUCUUAUAU